GCAAUUUGGCCUUCUGGUGGUUUGGUCUCGAAGGACAAAUUGUUGGUGCAAGUAUCCGGGACUGAAAGCUUCUGGAGAAAACGAAGUCUAUGAAGCUCAACUGCCUCUCCAAGACGAUUGACUUGCUUAGUCCUCGCGUUCCCUUCACACCAUUCGAAACAUAUUUCUCUGCAUUCCCUCCAACUGUAAUAGCAUCACGCAAUUUGCUCAACCUCUAGGACAAGGUUGCCUUUGCAAAAACUGGUCCAAAUUCUCUGUCAAAUCUGGGUCUUUAAUGCAUGGCAAGCUUGCUCAUGCCCACAUGAUAAAACUGGUUUAAAGCCCAGCCUCCUUUUGCUUAACUAUAUUCUUAAUAUUCUGAGUACAUGUGGUGAGAUGGGUACUGACUCAAACUGUUUGAUUGAAUGCCUAACCGUAGUGUGAUUGCUUAUAAUCUUUCCAUUAUGCCGAGAUAGGUUGUUAUGUGCCUUUGGUUUGCCUAAUGAAGGUAGAAUAGCUUGUGUAAAGCUCGAUGAUUUUAGUUAUGCGGGAUUGCUAUGCGCUUGUGCUCAAAAUGGGGAUCUUGGAGCGGCUGAAGUAAUUCAUGUUUUAAGAUAAUGCAGUGAUGCGGCCAGUACUUUUGAGUGUUUGCAGGGUGACACUGAUACAGGGAUAUGUGUUGCCGAGAAGAUAACUGAGCUUGGCCCCAGUAAUCUUAAUCUUUAUGUUCUUUACAACUUUUACCAGACACUGGAAUUGAAUUGCAUGCCAGGAAAAUUAGAGAACCAAAGAUCGAGGAGCUAGAAGAAAUCAGGACAGGGUUAAAUUGUGGUGUAAUUUUAAGGUUCAAUCUUUUGUAGUGAGUGAUGUUUCUCAUCCAUUGAGCAAAUUAAUUUAUAAAAUAUUGAAAGAAAUGUUAGAGAAGGGCAUCUAAAUGGUCAA